GAUGAACGCUGGCGGCGUGCCUAAUACAUGCAAGUCGAGCGAACAGACGAGGAGCUUGCUCCUCUGACGUUAGUGGCGGACGGGUGAGUAACACGUGGAUAACCUACCUAUAAGACUGGGAUAACUUCGGGAAACCGGAGCUAAUACCGGAUAAUAUAUUGAACCGCAUGGUUCAAUGGUGAAAGACGGUUUUGCUGUCACUUAUAGAUGGAUCCGCGCCGCAUUAGCUAGUUGGUAAGGUAACGGCUUACCAAGGCAACGAUGCGUAGCCGACCUGAGAGGGUGAUCGGCCACACUGGAACUGAGACACGGUCCAGACUCCUACGGGAGGCAGCAGUAGGGAAUCUUCCGCAAUGGGCGAAAGCCUGACGGAGCAACGCCGCGUGAGUGAUGAAGGUCUUCGGAUCGUAAAACUCUGUUAUUAGGGAAGAACAAAUGUGUAAGUAACUAUGCACGUCUUGACGGUACCUAAUCAGAAAGCCACGGCUAACUACGUG
rnacentral:rRNA from 1 species